AAAGGGGAGCCCAUUCAAGUUAAGGAGACGCCAAUCAGGCGAAUGGGAUGGGGCUUGACAAGAUUCUCAGAACGUGGUUGAAGGGUCUGCAAGACCCUUGAGUCUUAUUGAUGAAAGAAUAAAAUCCAUGGGACCUUAACUGGAGGGCCCAAACGUCACUAUAUCCAUGAAAACCGAGCCUUCCACGGAUCUUGGAGAGAAGUGAUUCAGGUGAUAAUCGUGUGAAAUCAACGUGAAUGAUUUCCCUAACGGCUCUACUGUCCCCUGUGCAAAUCAUGGCUUUUCGUUUUUGUGCCACAUCUACCAAAUAUUUGGGGAUGGAGUGAGAGUCAAGUGGUGGCGGAGAGGAUGGGGGAAGAGCCUUUCUAAUAUCUCGGAAGAAGAAAAUAGUUUUUGCACAAAAUGCAUGUGCGUGAAAACAACCCUGUAGAUGGAGCAGAAUGGUGGAGGGUGAUGAAAUGGAGAAUAUUCCAGCCUGGGCAGGAGAACCACAGAUAGACCACGUAGUCAGGAGAAGAGUAAGCAGUGAUGCUGGUGGGGAUAUGAAUGAGGAAGCGGAAGGCAUAGAAACUGUCCACAGUUCCUAGGAAGAUUCCAGGUCAAAGUGCUUCCUGUUCUUUGGCCCAAGAGCCAUAUCCACUUACAAAUGGAAUCUUGAUUAAUUUUCCAUUUGUACUUGGGGCAUUUCCCUAAGCUCUUUGGUCCCUUUAGCUGCUGCUAAUGGUGAAAGAACCAGUCUUGUGUCCCCAAAGGACUGGCAUUCCACUCUGGUCUGUGGAUGCUUCAGGACAGCGUGUUCCCUUGUGUCCCCAAGCCACACUGGAACAAGAACAAGAACAAGUACAAAAAUCCUGGACGAACGAUGAGUUGUCUUGGACCAAGAUUGUGCCCCACCGCAGCCCAUGGAUCCACGGACCAGCCAUGUUAGAAGCAUCAGCUGGUGUCUAGAGGAUCCUCAAAGACAGUACUUCUCGUGCUUUCACGGACUCAAGAACCACCUGGGGCAUCUUCAGAAAGUGCAGAUCCUGAUCCCGGAGGUCUGAGAGCCCGUGUUUCUAACCAGCUCCCCAGCGAUGCUGAUGCCCCUGGUCGGCAGAGCGUGCUUUGAGAAGCAGUUCCCAGCGUGCCGAGGAAGCUGGCUGGCUCAGGUGCCCUGCCCUGGGUGAGAGAGUGGGUGACCGACAAGGAAAGAAAAUGACCUGAAAUGGAAAUAAAUGCUGUGUACCACAAUCUCA
rnacentral:lncRNA from 1 species